rnacentral:rRNA from 1 species
AUGCCUAGACGGACAGAAGAAGCUGAACCAAAAGAAUGCUUGGAGUUUGAUGAUAAUGAAGAGGAAGAGGUAGAAGAGGAAGAAAUUGAGUAUGAAGAAAUUGAGGAGGAGGUAGAGGAGGAGGUGGAGGUGGAGGAGGAGGAUAUUUCAGAGGAAGUGGAGGAGGUAGAGGAGGAGGAGGAAGACCCUGAAGAAAGAGAAGUUCUUGAUGAAAUUGAUGCUAGUCAUGACAGUGACAGUAAAUCGGAAGUUGUUCCUCUUCCUCAGCAGGAUGGUGCCAGAGAUGGGAGCGAUAAAGAGAAGCAUGCCGAACUUCUUGCUCUUCCUCCUCAUGGAUCUGAAGUAUAUUUUGGGGGCAUCUCCAGCGAUGCAUCUUCUGACGAUCUCAAGAAACUAUGUGAGCCAGUUGGCGAAGUUGUGGAAGUUAGAAUAAUGCUGAGCAAGAAGGAUAGUAGGGGAUAUGCUUUUGUUACUUUCAGAACUAAUGACCUGGCUUUGAAGGCCAUCGAGAAAUUGAACAAGGCAACUUUCAAGGGAAAGAAGCUAAGAGUUUCUUCGUCCCAGGCUAAGAACAAGCUAUUUGUUGGAAAUAUACCUCACAGUUGGUCAUUUGAUGAUUUUAAAAAAGCAGUGGAAGAAGUUGGUCCUGGAGUAUUAAAAGUUGAUCUGAUUAAGGAUCCACGUACAGAUCGCAAUCGGGGUUAUGGUUUCGUUGAAUACUAUAAUAAUGCAUGCGCUGAGUAUUCAAGGCAGAAGAUGACUGCACCAAAUUUCAAAUUAGAUACAAAUGCUCCUACUGUCAGCUGGGCAGAUCCUAAGAAUGGGGAUUCUGCCUCUACAGGCUCUACGUCACAGGUCAAAUCUGUAUAUGUCAAAAACCUGCCCAAGAAUGUUACUCAAGGGCAGCUGAAAAAGCUGUUUGAGCGCCAUGGUGAAAUCAUAAAAAUUGUUCUCCCCCCUUCAAAAGAUGGUCAUGAUAAUAGGUAUGGUUUUGUUCACUUUAAAGACCGCCACAUGGCCAUGAAGGCUGUGAAGAGCACAGAGAAAUAUGAGCUUGACGGUCAGCUCCUGGACUGCUCACUCGCAAAACCUCCUGCUGAUAAAAAAGACGAUACAGUAUCAUUGCCUACUGCCAAAGGAGGUCCGUUGCUCCAUGCUCCGCUUGGAUAUGGUAUGCCACGGCCAGAUCCUUAUGGUGCGCCUCCUGCUUAUGGUGCCCCUCCUGCUUAUGGUGCACCUCCUGCUUAUGGUGGACAGCCUCUGCUCUAUGCUCCAGGAGCUCCUCCAGGUGCAGCAAUGGUUCCAAUGCUUCUACCGGAUGGCCGUCUUGUAUAUGUUGUGCAACAGCCUGGAGCGCAGCAACAUUUCGCUUCCCCUCCGCCCCAGGUGCGGCAACAUCAGCAUUUCACAUCUCCUCCGCCACAGGCACGACAAAUUGGUCGCCAUGGUGGCAGCGGUGGCGGUGGAGGCAGUGGUGGAUCAAGUAGGUCCGGGUCCGGUACAAAGCGCCCAAGGGGAGAUGACAACAACAGCAGCAGUCGCAACCGACAACGCCGGUAUUGA